rnacentral:lncRNA from 1 species
CUGAGCGAUAGAACAAGACUCUGUUUCCAAAAAACAAAAAGAAAAGGUGAUCACAAAAUUCAGGAAAUGUAAAAUGUAAUAUAAAGAAAUCAUGAUUCAAAGAUGAAAUUAGAUAUAUAGCAGUUUUUAAGCCAUGAUUGGAGUACACAUUUGCCUUAAAUCAGAAAGAUCUACAAAACAUGAUCUUUGAAUGGGCUGGAAGCCCUGAAACCAUGUGUAGAGAUGAAAAUGUUACUCUAGCAUAACACAUAUCCCCAUAGUAAUGAUAUUUGCUGAUUUUUUAAACUUAUAAAUUCAAAUGAUAGAAAUCAAUGGAAAGUCACUUGUGACUACCAGAAAGAAUGGAGAUGUUUGCAACCUUAAUCCUGUAGUAGUAAAAGUUAGGCUGACAGCAAGUAGGAACUGGGGGUAAGGAAAGGGAGGAGAGUUCGGGUGCUCAUGCAAGGGGACAGAAGAAGAAAUAAAGCUCAUGGACAUUACCUAAAAAUUACAAACACUCUCAAUGAAGAACCAAAAAUAACUAUAAAACACUGGAAAUAGUAAAAGGAAGUCCGCAAAAUUGGUUAACCAAGAAAAAUUCUCACUUCUUUGCAGAAAGUCAACAAAUAACUGUCUAAAGUUGUUCCUGGUUAUUAGGAGUCAAGAGGAAGAGGGAUGGCUCUUGCUUUUCUUCGUGAUCUUUUCUGUUUGACUCGUUACAUUGUCUGCAUAUAUUAUUUAAGUAGAAACAUUAAAUGUUAUCAUUAAAAUGCUACUCAUUUAUUACUAAGUCUUCUCACUGGAAGGCUGGUAUAUCCUAAUACCUAAUAACACAUCUUACUGUACUUAUCAAGGCAUAUUCUCCAUUAAUACCCCAAAGGCAUUCCUUCUUUAAAAAAAUAGAAGAGGGAGUUACUACCCUGUAUGUCGCCAUCAUCACUGUAUGAGGACAUGAAAUGCUGGCAUUAUUCAGACUGACUGACAAAGUUACACAAAGUUAUUAUCUCUCUCCUCUACCUUACUCUGCCCUUCAUAAAUCAACCGUGUCUCUUCAGCUGUAGCAAAAUGACGCCACUCUAUUGGAAUGAUGCUGCAGUCCUCCAAGUCACCAGAUGCUAAUUUGCAGUAAUUACAUUUAAGAAUCUGAUCUAAAAACCAAGAUUGAAUAUUAAGGUCAGUGGCAAGGAGAUAUUGAUGGGCAAAGUGUGGGGUUUAAAAUUACAAGAAGCGGCUGGGCAUGGGUGGCUCAUGCCUGUAAUCCCAGCACUUUGGGAGGCUGAGGUGGGAUGAUCACUUGAGAUCAGAAGUUCAAGACUAACCUGGCCAACAUGGUGAAACCUCGUCUCUACUAAAAAAUACAAAAAUUAGCCAGGCAUGGUGGCACAUGCUUGUAAUCCCAGCUACUCCAGAGGCGGAGGCAGGAGAAUCACUUGAACUCGGGAAGCAAAGGCUGCAGUGAGCCGAGAUUGUGCUACUGUGCUCCAGCCUGGGCAACAGAGUAAGACUCU